GUUGCAGAUCUGUUGGUUGUGAAUUUUGUUAUUGGCCAAAUCUGGACAAUCUGUACCUGCAUUUUUGGAGUACUAUGAAUUCUAUAGGAUUCCAAUACUGAACAAGCCCCAGAACAGGGCUGAUUGUUGUCAUGUUUCGAAACCUAAAGAUGGUAUGGUAACAACGGUCGCCAAAGCCAAAAAUAUCAUGCGAAGUACCUCACUCAAACACACACACACACACACUACGCUAGCAUACAUGUGCAUACACAUAGGUAAUUUAAGCUAACGUUAGCAUACUUUUAAAACACCCUUUUAACUAUAAGCAAUCGUUAACCUGAAAUCAAUAGCUAUCGGUAGUAGCCUAAUAUUAAUUUUAAACAAACCGUAACGGGCUAAAUAACUCCAUAUUGCUAUUAUCAGUAACUUACCAGGGGCCUGUUGCACAAAACCAGGAUAAGGGAUUAAGUUGGGAUAUCCAAGUUAUCCUGGAUUAAUUUAGCUUUGACUUGGUUGCACAAAAGCAGGCUGAAUUAAACCCAGCCAAGUAACCAUGGAGAUUUAUUCUUUGCAGCUAGCCUGCUCCAGAGCAGGCUAACAGCCAGGCUAAGAUUAAUCCUGGAGUCUUGUGUUAAAUCAGCUGCCGCUCUGAUCCGAAAUAAACGUCUUUAACAGUUGUUCCGUUGUCUUCUGAAUGUUUUCUACUUCAUUGUUAACAUGCAUUACUUGUCACUAUUGCUGUGACGAGUUUGAUUUAAAUACUACUACUGCAGUUUAGAUGGUUUGUAAUGGUUGAUGAAUUUGCAACGGGGAUUUCAAUGAAGUCAGUGAUGAGGGCAUUAUAUAAAGUCCCAUUCACCUGUGUUUCUCCCUGCACCAUGGCAUGCCCAUUUCUGAAUGACGUUUUGGAUGAAGAAGCGCUGAUAUUUAGACGUGCUUUCAAACGUGAGAGGGUGUUUCGGGAUAGAUCAGACCCUUAAUCUUUUCCCGACGAGUACCUGCAUGAGAGGUAUCGAUUUACUGGAGAUGGAAUCCGUUAUUGUGUGGCACUGCGUUUUUUUAGAAGCGGCAUGUUUGUAUAUGCCGUGGGACAUGCCGAAAUUCUAAAUAAAGGCACUAUUUGCCGUUGUGUCAGAAGCGUGUUUGGCACUGAAAUCCUUGGCACACAUCUUUAUUACAUUCGCUGGCCACAGAAGAAUGUGUUUCAUCAAAGAGAUUUCUACAAGAUUGCAGAUGAUCUGUGAUGCUGCCUGCAUCAUUACCAAUGUGGAGGCAAAGUGGCCUGGGUCCGUCCAUGAC
ensembl:lncRNA